UGGCUUAGUGGUAGAGCACUUGCCUAGCAUGUAUGAGGCCCUGAGUUCAAUCCUCAG
rnacentral:tRNA from 1 species